AACACAGUGUUGCAGCUUAUUACUAAAAUUGAAACAAUACAGAGAGGAUCAGCGCGGCCUCUUUGCAAGGAUAACACACACAUUCAUGACACUUCUAUGAUUCUG
rnacentral:snRNA from 1 species